CUGCCUUUCUGUGCAGCUGCUGUUUGUAGCACUGCUAUGCUGAUGACCUUUCUGUUUCCAGAACAACUAUUGAAUGGUCAGAAUCUCAUGACAGAGGCUAUGGAAAUCUUCAGUCUGUUAAAAUGGAGCACUAUGCAUUUAAUGAUUUGUCUCUCAAAAUUGCCUUUCCGUAUUCUGCCACCAAGGCAACUGUGAGCAUAUUGUUGUCAUCACGGAGAUAAGGUAAGUUACUGCUGUUUGGGUCUUGCCAGGUGGUUAACAGCAAGCCUGCAGUAGACAAACUUCAGACAUUAAAUGCUAAGUAUCUCUUAGACUAACAUGAAGAUUAUUCUGUUGCCAUCUGCAGGGUUUAUUUAAGACUUCAGUCAGUCAGUACGUAUGUAACUACCUUGGCUAAGAGGAAAGUACUUCUCCCUUGCAUUUUCUUUUUUUUCCCAAUAAUUUGUUCUGUGUAAGUAGCCUUGUUUCCAACUGGCAUGACAUGACUGUAGUAUGGGAGGAAUUGCACGCAUGGUGAAAAGUCUUUUGUGUGCAGAGCCAGUGUGUGGCAAAUCUACAUAUGAAUUUUGGAUGGUUUGGGAAUGUGGAUAGUGGCUCUGGGUAGAGUCAACUAGACUUGUUAGUUUAGGCUUUGUGCCAAGCAGCAGGAAUUGCAAAAAGAUUGGAGGAAUGGAAAUAAUAGGCUGAGGUGAAUGGACAAGGAGGAGAGGGGAGAAGGUGAUGGUGCCUGUGAGGUGGCAAUUACCUCAGCAAUAGAGCUGUUACGUAUAUUCUGCUUAAUGUAUGAUGUGUAGAGAGUGCUCCUCUGAAUGCCUGUAAAUCAAUUGCUGUUCCUAUAAGCCUGAUGUAGCUAGGCUUAUUCGUUAUGAUUGCCUGGACAGGAACCUUCAUCUUGUUGAUCAAGAAACACUGAUUAUGUGCCAGAAAAUGCUUUGUAUGCAAAAUGUGUGCAGCCAGGUACGUUACGUUUACAGCUCUUUUAAGAUGCCUUAAAGAAGCUUUUCUAGGUGCUGCUACUAAC
rnacentral:lncRNA from 1 species